rnacentral:misc_RNA from 1 species
AACGCACAUUGCGCCCGCUAGUACUCUAGCGGGCAUGCCUGUUCGAGCGUCAUUUCAACCCUCAAGCCCUGCUUGGUGUUGGGGCCCUACGGCUGCCGUAGGCCCUGAAAGGAAGUGGCGGGCUCGCUACAACUCCGAGCGUAGUAAUUCAUUAUCUCGCUAGGGACGUUGCGGCGCGCUCCUGCCGUUAAAGACCAUCUUUAACUCAAGGUUGACCUCGGAUCAGGUAGGAAUACCCGCUGAACUUAA